rnacentral:rRNA from 1 species
GACGAACGCUGGCGGCGUGCCUAAUACAUGCAAGUCGAACGAGAGCGCCCGGUGCUUGCACUGGUCAAUCUAGUGGCGAACGGGUGAGUAACACGUGGGUAACCUGCCCAUCAGAGGGGGAUAACAUCCGGAAACGGAUGCUAAAACCGCAUAGGUCUUCGAGCCGCAUGGCUUGAAGAGGAAAAGAGGCGCAAGCUUCUGCUGAUGGUUGGACCCGCGGUGCAUUAGUUAGUUGGUGAGGUAACGGCUCACCAAGGCCGCGAUGCAUAGCCGACCUGAGAGGGUGAUCGGCCACAUUGGAACUGAGACACGGCCCAAACUCCUACGGGAGGCAGCAGUAGGGAAUCUUCCGCAAUGGACGCAAGUCUGACGGAGCAACGCCGCGUGAGUGAAGAAGGUUUUCGGAUCGUAAAACUCUGUUGUUAGAGAAGAACAAGUGCUAGAGUAACUGUUAGCGCCUUGACGGUAUCUAACCAGAAAGCCACGGCUAACUACGUG